rnacentral:rRNA from 1 species
GAUGAACGCUGGCGGCGUGCCUAAUACAUGCAAGUCGAGCGAACAGACGAGGAGCUUGCUCCUCUGACGUUAGCGGCGGACGGGUGAGUAACACGUGGGUAACCUACCUAUAAGACUGGGAUAACUUCGGGAAACCGGAGCUAAUACCGGAUAAUAUAUUGAACCGCAUGGUUCAAUAGUGAAAGACGGUUUUGCUGUCACUUAUAGAUGGAUCCGCGCCGCAUUAGCUAGUUGGUAAGGUAACGGCUUACCAAGGCGACGAUGCGUAGCCGACCUGAGAGGGUGAUCGGCCACACUGGAACUGAGACACGGUCCAGACUCCUACGGGAGGCAGCAGUAGGGAAUCUUCCGCAAUGGGCGAAAGCUUGACGGAGCAACGCCGCGUGAGUGAUGAAGGUCUUCGGAUCGUAAAACUCUGUUAUUAGGGAAGAACAAAUGUGUAAGUAACUAUGCACGUCUUGACGGUACCUAAUCAGAAAGCCACGGCUAACUACGUG